UGAGGAAUAUUGCGCAAUGGACGAAAGUCUGACGCAGUGACGCCGCGUGAAUGAUGAAGCUUCUAGGAGUGUAAAAUUCUUUUCUGAGGGACGAAUGCCCAUUUCGGUGGGAGCGACGGUACCUCAGGAAUAAGCACCGGCUAACUCCGUGCCAGCAGCCGCGGUAAUACGGAGGGUGCAAGCGUUGUCCGGAUUUACUGGGCGUAAAGGGCGUGUAGGCGGAACGAUUAGUCAGGGGUGAAAUUUACGGGCUUAACCCGUAACGUGCCUUUGAUACUGUCGUUCUUGAGUUCAGGAGGGGGCAAUGGAAUUCCCGGUGUAGCGGUGGAAUGCGCAGAUAUCGGGAGGAACACCGGUGGCGAAGGCGGUUGCCUGGCCUGAAACUGACGCUGAGGCGCGAAAGUGUGGGUAGCAAACAGG
rnacentral:rRNA from 1 species